rnacentral:rRNA from 1 species
GGGGCAAGCGUUAUCCGGAUUUACUGGGUGUAAAGGGAGCGUAGACGGCAGGGCAAGUCUGGAGUGAAAGGCGGGGGGCUCAACCCCCGGACUGCUCUGGAAACUGCCAGGCUGGAGUGCAGGAGAGGUAAGUGGAAUUCCUAGUGUAGCGGUGAAAUGCGUAGAUAUUAGGAGGAACACCAGUGGCGAAGGCGGCUUACUGGACUGUAACUGACGUUGAGGCUCGAAAGCGUGGGGAGCAAACA